GACAUUGCUUAGUUGAUAGAAGUACAAGCAGGCAAAGUUUAGUUAGAUAGAGUACAAGCAGGUCUUUAGUAAAUUGAUCACAUACAAAUAGUCAAUGUUACUGCAAUUUUAAAAAUGAGUAUCUUAUUUGAUAUGAAAAGAAAGAAAAGAAAAGCUUAGAAAAUGGUUAUCUUAUGUAACAAGUCUUCUAAUGUUGAUGCUGAAAGUCCAUGUAAAAGAAAAGCUUUAUUCCAUAGCAGCCAAAAAGUACAUUGAUACAAGCACAACUACUCUGGAUGUGCAAGGAGUAUGGUAUGUUGGCUAACUAUUAAAUUAAGUGAGAUAUAUGUGUCCUUAGAGUGUGGCUGGUCAAAUUGUUAUUUUCAUUUAUGUUUGGUGACUUUGGAGAAACUGUAAAAGGAAUAUAUGUUUGUCCUAUUGCGAGUUUAUAUUCAUCAAUAACUUAAACCAUAUGAUCAUGGUGCGGGAAUGAAGAACUUCAAGAAAUCAACAAGAAAAUUCACUGAAUGCCUCCAAACUAUGGAUGGUAACAAUUUUCCUUAGAUAAUGUUGUGUAUGCAGCUCGGGCAUUGUGAAUGGAUCAAGGCAGCACAAUGUGCAUAGGUUUCUCGAGUUUCAUUGUGUUUCACUCCAAUGGAUAUAGGAAGUUGUAUCACGUCAUCUAGCAGCCCAAGAUCACUCGAUGAAAGUAACUUCGCGGAUCAUGAGUGUUCAUUGAAUGUAUAUCUAGGAUUUAUUAUUGUUUUUUCCCUUAUAUAUGUUGAAUUGAUGUAAAAUAUUACUCCAUGAGUUUUAAUACAUUUGAUGGUGUA